rnacentral:lncRNA from 1 species
AGGGUUGGAAUUCUGCUUUCCUAUGUUGAUUUUGCACAGUACACUAACUCAAAUUGGCACGGCGCUGCAGGUAGCCUAGUGGUUAGAGCGUUGAUCUAGUAACCGGAAGAUCGAAUUCCCGAGCUGACAAGGUUCAAAUCUGUUGUUCUGCCCCUGAACAAGGCAGUUAACCCCUGAGUUAACCCCUGUUCCUAUACCGCCAUUGAAAAUAAGAAUUUGUUAUUUAACUGACUUGCCUAGUUAAAUGAAGUUAAAAUAUAUUUUUUAAAGUGUACGCAGAAGAAUUUGUCCAACGGUGUCCAGUAGAUAUGUCACAUGCCAAACUGAACAGAGCCUUCCUCCAUUUUUGUGAGGUAAGGAAAAUAACUUGCUGUCCUUUCAAUCCAAUUAUACAAUCACUAUCUUGUAUUACGCUUACAAGCGGAGAUUUUUUUUUAAACGCAAUGUGUUUCCAGCAACACUUUCAACUAAAUGGCAAUAAUGUUAGACAUAUGCAUGUUUCGAAAAUAUGGAUAUACCAGAUCAGUUAUCAGCCAGUUAUUGGUUUGUCAGUCAAUUGGCCUUUAUAAAUCAAUAUCAGAUUAAUGGAACAAAUGUUUGUUAUGAUAACAUUUUGUUUGUAUUAUAACAACAUAAUAGUUUGAUCCCAAAUUUUUUUAUUUGGACUGAACUAGGUGCCGGUACUCUUUUUAUGUGCCGGUAUUGUUUUACAUUAAGGUUCAGGAGCUCCAUAUAACUUUUGAGCUAAUGCUCUUAAAGAGGCACAUGAGCUCAAGCAUCCGGUGAGUUCCUGCCCAAGUCAAGUACUGCACACGGGUCAAUUAUUUCCUCUGAGAAAGUGUGAUUUGUUGUAUUCUCAGAUAUCCAGAUCGAAGGGGAAAAUUAUAGCGAACCAUGACAAUUUCUAUAUUACAUCUUGUCAAACUCGGGAAUGAUCUUUCGCGGUUUAAACUGUUCAGCGUUGAUUCGUUCCACGCGGAACUGAAACAAAGACAUGUCUUAGGGGGAGAUACCACACCCGGAAGCAACAUGCGUGUUUCCCACAACAACACGUGGUUUGUAAAACAUAUAAAUUCGCCCCCAGUCCCCUCAAUCAGUCUUUCUCACCUACUGCGGUUGGAGGAGAAGUGUACAUCAGCACAUGUGGACGAUUUCGCCAUAAACUACCAAUUGAUUAAUUUUGACAAGAAUCUAAACUCAAUCCUAGCUGUGCUGUAAAAUCGGGUAAUGUGAACUGCCAUUGUAGGACUGACCACUGCGUCCAUUCAACCCCUGGAUCUUCAGAUCUGUAAUCUAGUUUGAGGUCAAAUUAAUGUAUAUCUAAUGACUAUGUAUAUACUCUACAGUUGCUAACCAGAUGCGUUUUGUCUGCGGCACUAUCGAACUGGUUCAAAAUUGUACAAAAUGUUACUUUUGGUUCAAAGUGUUCAAUAAAUGCAGUGAAUGUUAACUGUUUAUCAUUUAUGGAAUGUCAUUGGCAGUUGUAACUGUUAAUACAUCCUUUACUUCAGCUGUUGCCUGCAAAGACAUAAAGCCUAGGUAUAUGUUCUCUUUUCCGGGGAAAGGGAUACCUAGUAAGUUCUGCAACAAUGCGUUCAACUGAAAUGUGUAAUUUGCCUUUAACCGAAUCCCCCUGAAUCAGGUGUAAUGGUCUAGGCUACAGGUGGAAUAAUGCCUUUUAAAGUCACUCAACUGUAUGCCUACUUUCAUCUAGCAGACACGGACAAGUGGUUAAGAAAUGUUUAACUACGUGGUCCUAGGAAUUUGUAUUUAACUAGGCACGUCAGUUAACCAUUUAAUUUACAACUACUGCUUAACCCGGAAGACGCUGGGCCAAUUGGGAUUCUCGAUCACGGCUUGUGAUAAAGUAGUGUUGACUCGAGCGAUGCAGUGCCUUGGACUGCCUGGCCACUCAGGAGCAAAUGUGACUGCAUUAUAAGUAUGCUUGCUUUAUAUUCUCUAAAGGCAUGUAAUGUGAUCUUAGUGGUGAAUACUUGGCUGAUGACUAGAGUUGUGUGUUGGCCUUAUGCUUCGAACACACCAACCGAAACAUUGCAUUUAGGUAUACCAGAAUAUCAUUCACAAUGAAACGCGUUUGAUUUGUAGUGCGUUCGGUGUGGCGCAUUCGUUCGAUAAUCCAAUAUACGCGUCAAACUGCGUUGACGGCUUGACAUGAAUGGUAGGUGAAUUUGAACUUUUCCCACACCAGUUGCUGCGUACCACGUACCAUUUGCGCGACGUAGCUGUGAUCAAGGAGUUAAAUGUUUGAACAAUUUAAAUUCACUCGAGUGAAUUUUAAAUCAAACGCGCCAUAACGUUAGUCACCAAUAAAAUCAUCACUAUAGCGUCUCACCAUUACUGGAUUGGCUGACUAGCUGUCGGUUACUAGCCGCCACAUGAGGGCAAGGCUAGCGUGGCUAGGCGAGUGCUGCUUGUAAAUAGAAUGUUCUAACGGCCCCCAAUAUCCUUGAGCAUUCAAAUAGCCCCUUGGGGGGGGGGGGGGGGUUGUAGAGGAUGUCUUGCCGGUGUUUAGGGGGUGCCGCUUCCAAUUCGGCGUCACCUCUGCAUUGCUAGCACACGUGACCGGCCUGAAGCGUUUUACCAAACCCAUGAGGUUCCUUAUUGCUUUUUAUAAUCCAGUUACACAUUUUAGCGUCAUACCCGUG